rnacentral:rRNA from 1 species
GAUGAACGCUGGCGGCGUGCCUAAUACAUGCAAGUCGAGCGAACAGAUAAGGAGCUUGCUCCUUUGACGUUAGCGGCGGACGGGUGAGUAACACGUGGGUAACCUACCUAUAAGACUGGAAUAACUCCGGGAAACCGGGGCUAAUGCCGGAUAACAUUUAGAACCGCAUGGUUCUAAAGUGAAAGAUGGUUUUGCUAUCACUUAUAGAUGGACCCGCGCCGUAUUAGCUAGUUGGUAAGGUAACGGCUUACCAAGGCAACGAUACGUAGCCGACCUGAGAGGGUGAUCGGCCACACUGGAACUGAGACACGGUCCAGACUCCUACGGGAGGCAGCAGUAGGGAAUCGUCCGCAAUGGGCGAAAGCCUGACGGAGCAACGCCGCGUGAGUGAUGAAGGUCUUCGGAUCGUAAAACUCUGUUAUUAGGGAAGAACAAAUGUGUAAGUAACUGUGCACGUCUUGACGGUACCUAAUGAGAAAGCCACGGCUAACUACGUG